GUUGUAUUUACAUCUCUGCCUAUGUUGCCAUUUUCUAAUAGCGCUAUAAACUAGGGGCGAGAGAUUAUACUCCUAUAAUGCGUAGGGUAGAUAUUUGAACAAAAGUACAGCUUAAAGAUCAUCAUUGUUUUGACCUUUCUUUUCCUCUUCUUCUCCAUGCAUAGUGUGAUCAAUCAAUAGCUGCUCUGGGAGCACUGGGUCAAUACGAUUUAAGCCGGUUAGUAUGUCAGAGUGAUGCCACUUCAAAUACCGCAGCGUUGAAACCUGGCUGUAUAAAUAAGGACGCGUAUCAUAGAAACUAGUUUGAUGGAGAUUUGUUGACCUGUGGGUGUUGAAAAGCUUAUAGGUCGCCACUUACUGACUUGGGGCCAGGAAUGUUCUGGUGCUACCAUCCACUUACUCCGGGGAUCUCUUCAAUUUGGUAACUGCAUUGCAAGAGGCUUGGCUCGUUCUUCUGGUGUCUCCAGCGAAGGUCCUCGUGAGCCGCUCCGGCAGAGACAGGGACUGCUCAGCUGCUGUGCCGUGGCGGAUCCUGCAACCGGCGGUGCAGCCGUGGCCUCUAGCCUGGGCACGCUUCUGCCGUGAGCCAGGCCAUGGACUUUGGACAAGGGAAAAACUAAAGAGUGUUUCAGUGACAUGGAGAGAAGAAGGAGAAAAAGGUCCUGCGCGUGGGCUCAGACAGCCUGGAAGCGCCGGCAGCAGUCAGCAGGAGGAGAGUGUCGCCGGGAUGUGCCGCUGCAAGGCCGAGAUAACCCAGCUCCUCGUCUUGCCCUUGGCUGCUAGGGUCUGCGUGCAGGCGGAGCUCUCCUGGCGCGGGGCGCUGCACAACGCCAUGCGCAGCCGUACCCCGAUGGCCGAGCGGAGAAAUCUGCGCUGCCGUGCUGUACGCUCGGUACGAGACACGUUUCUGGAUCAGUAAUCUAUCAUAAUUUUGUUGGACAGAAGGGAGUAGCACCAGGUUUCUUUCUUCUGGAGGAGAGAGAUUUUGAUUAAUUUUUCCCCUUCUCUUCAGGGUUAGCACUUUGCAUUAUAUAUGUUUCAAGGCAGGGAAAUUGCUUGCUUGACAGCUGUGGAUAAAACAUGAAACUUUAGAUAAUGUUUUAAAUUCACCAGGGACAAACCAGCUUCAAUGUAAUUGAUAAAUUAAACCGAAUUCAAAUAUCA
rnacentral:lncRNA from 1 species